rnacentral:sRNA from 1 species
GGCAUGUGGUCUGCAGAAGAGGAGGACGUGGCUGGGUGGCAGGGCUGGUUUCCAAGGACGAGUGAGAUCCUGCAGCUGGGGGCUUCAGGAAGUCUCCUGGGGCUAUCAGAUGGCUCCUUCUUGUAGCAGCAGCUGUGGGGUCCACUGGCCCUGAGCCCUCAGAGGGGAGGCCGUGGGGGACCUCCUGUCUUUUGCCUUGCAAGGGCCUCAGUUGUGUUUUUUCCCUCUAGGCAGCCAUGGGUGCCAGGCAGUGCUGAGAGCAGUGGGGCAUGGCUGCAGCCCUGCAGGUCCUGCCCCGCUUGGCCCGAGCCCCCUUGCAUCCACUCCUCUGGCGGGGCUCAGUGGCCCGUCUGGCCAGCAGCAUGGCCUUGGCAGAGCAGGCCAGGCAGCUGUUUGAGACUGCUGUAGGUGCAGUGCUGCCGGGCCCCAUGCUGCACCGGGCACUAUCCUUGGACCCUGGUGGCAGACAGCUGCAGGUGCGGGACCGGAACUUUCAGCUGAGGCAAAACCUCUACCUGGUGGGCUUUGGCAAGGCUGUGCUGGGCAUGGCAGCUGCAGCUGAGGAACUACUGGGCCAGCAUCUUGUGCAGGGCGUGAUCAGCGUUCCCAAGGGGAUCCGUGCUGCCAUGGAGCGCGCCGGCAAGCAGGAGAUGCUGCUGAAGCCACAUAGCCGUGUCCAGGUAUUCGAGGGUGCGGAGGACAACCUCCCGGACCGCGAUGCGCUGCGGGCUGCGCUGGCCAUCCGGCAACUGGCCGAGGGACUCACAGCUGAUGACCUGCUGCUCGUGCUGAUCUCAGGUGGUGAGCCUCAUCCUGUCAGAUGUGGUGGGGGACCCUGUGGAGGUGAUUGCCAGCGGCCCCACUGUGGCCAGUUCCCACAAUGUGCAAGAUUGCCUGCAUAUCCUCAAUCGCUACGGCCUCCGUGCAGCCCUGCCACGUUCCGUGAAGACUGUGCUGUCUCGGGCCGAUUCUGACCCCCAUGGGCCACACACCUGUGGCCAUGUCCUGAAUGUGAUCAUUG